UGACAGGCCGCUAGAGUGAGAGGACAUUAUGAAGAUACCAUGGAUCCAUGAAAAGGGACCUUUAUUGGCCUACAAGGGCUUGAGCUUCAGGACUCCUGAGACCUCUGGUGCCACCCCAUGAAACUUCAGCUGGAGAGGAAAUCAGCCGUCCUGCAAGCCCACAGACCUCUCCCUUGUCAGUGCAAAUAAAACCUAAGGAGAUUCAGGAUGAUUCUGGAACAACAGCAAGCUACAGGACCAUGCUGGUCUGCAGGAGUGACUGUUCCUGAGCAUACAACCAUGACCCUCUGCCUGUAUUCCACUCAUGCCUCUGUUCCUCGUACAUUCACUAAAAGGUGAGAGCUGCUGUGGGUAAAGGCCCUUUGUCUCUCACGGAAACUGCCUGUCCCAGAGCCCUUUUACAACUGCAGUUCUCUCUUGUUCCAUUGCCAGCUAUGUACCCCCACAGCACUGAAUGGCAGACUGAGCCUUUUGUGAGGGUCUUCAGUAAUGCGGGUCCGGAAUGGAUUUUAUGGUAGGUAGUGGAGCCGGACAUUUAGUAGUGAUGUAUGGCCCAA
rnacentral:lncRNA from 1 species